UACAUUGGGGGAUAGCCUUUCGAAAGGGAGAUUAAUACCGCAUAAGACAGUAGCUGGGCAUCCAGUAGCUGUUAAAGAUUUAUCGAUGUAAGCUGGGCAUGCGUCCAAUUAGUUAGUUGGCGAGGUAAUGGCCCACCAAGACGAUGAUUGGUAGGGGAACUGAGAGGUCAAUCCCCCACACUGGCACUGAGAUACGGGCCAGACUCCUACGGGAGGCAGCAGUAGGGAAUAUUGGGCAAUGGACGCAAGUCUAACCCAGCCAUGCCGCGUACAGGAAGAAGGCGUUAUGCGUUGUAAACUGCUUUUAUAUAGGAAGAAACGACCCUUGCGAGGGGCAUUGACGGUACUAUAUGAAUAAGCACCGGCUAACUCCGUGCCAGCAGCCGCGGUAAUACGGAGGGUGCAAGCGUUGUCCGGAUUUAUUGGGUUUAAAGGGUGCGCAGGUGGUUUAUUAAGUCAGUGGUGAAAGACGGUCGCUCAACGAUUGCAGUGCCAUUGAUACUGGUAGACUUGAGUAAAGUAGAGGUGGGCGGAAUUGAUAGUGUAGCGGUGAAAUGCAUAGAUAUUAUCAAGAACUCCAAUUGCGUAGGCAGCUCACUUGGCUUUUACUGACACUCACGCACGAAAGUGUGGGUAUCAAACAGGAUUAGAUACCCUGGUAGUCCACACUGUAAACGAUGAUAACUAGGUGUCGGCCGAAUCUGGUCGGUGCCACAGCGAAAGCGUUAAGUUAUCCACCUGGGGAGUACGCCGGCAACGGUGAAACUCAAAGGAAUUGACGGGGGUCCGCACAAGCGGUG
rnacentral:rRNA from 1 species